rnacentral:rRNA from 1 species
CCUACGGGUGGCAGCAGUGAGGAAUAUUGGUCAAUGGACGAGAGUCUGAACCAGCCAAGUCGCGUGAAGGAUGACUGCCCUAUGGGUUGUAAACUUCUUUUAUCUGGGAAUAAAAUGUUCCACGUGUGGGAUUUUGUAUGUACCAUAUGAAUAAGGAUCGGCUAACUCCGGGCCAUCAGCCUCGUUAAAACGGGGGAUCGGAGCGUUUUCCGGAUUUAUUGGGUUUAAAGGGGGAGUGUGUGGAUUGUUAAGUCAGUGUUGAAAGUUUGCGGCCUAACCGUAAAAUUGCAGUUGAAACUGGGAGUCUUGAGUGUAGGAGAGGUGGGCGGAAUUCGUGGUGUAGCGGUGAAAUGCUUAGAUAUCACGAAGAACCCCGAUUGCGAAGGCAGUUCACUGGACUGCAACUGACACUGAGGCUCGAAAGUGUGGGUAUCGAACAGGAUUAGAUACCCCAGUAGUC